rnacentral:lncRNA from 1 species
GAGCAACUCCAAUGCAAAACAUCAAAAUUGAAAUAUCAAAUAUUUAUUUGAUAAUUAAGAUAAUAUUUUAAUAUUCAUUUACAAUUUAUCUACUCCAACCAUGGUUAUCAAAAUUAAUAAUCAAUUGGAAGUUUUUUAGUAGUUUUAUUUAUAAUUGUCACGUGUCAUUUUGUGAUUGGAGGUUUAGGUGGUUAUUGUUUUGAUAACUUAAUUUCCAGGAUGUAUUUUUACUUAUGAAGAUGUAGAUUAUCAAAAUACUUACCCAUUUUGAUACUCCCAUUGGAGUAGAAAUUUUUAAUUUUGGGAUAUAAAAAAGGUAGUUUAUGGGUUUGAUAAUCCAUUUGAUACUCCCAUUGGAGUUGCUCU